UUGGAGAUUUUUAUCCUGGCUCAGGACGAACGCUGGCGGCGUGCUUAACACAUGCAAGUCGAACGAUGAAGCCCUUCGGGGUGGAUUAGUGGCGAACGGGUGAGUAACACGUGGGCAAUCUGCCCUUCACUCUGGGACAAGCCCUGGAAACGGGGUCUAAUACCGGAUAAUACUCCUGCCUGCAUGGGCGGGAGUUGAAAGCUCCGGCGGUGAAGGAUGAGCCCGCGGCCUAUCAGCUUGUUGGUGGGGUAAUGGCCCACCAAGGCGACGACGGGUAGCCGGCCUGAGAGGGCGACCGGCCACACUGGGACUGAGACACGGCCCAGACUCCUACGGGAGGCAGCAGUGGGGAAUAUUGCACAAUGGGCGAAAGCCUGAUGCAGCGACGCCGCGUGAGGGAUGACGGCCUUCGGGUUGUAAACCUCUUUCAGCAGGGAAGAAGCGGAAAGUGACGG
rnacentral:rRNA from 1 species